UACAAUGUUAUUAUUGAACCUCUAAGUCAACAAACACAACACAUUUAAAUUUAAUAUUUAGGAAAUGUCGGUGUUCUUUUUAAUUUGUAUGUUUUGAAUAGCUUCACAGAAAUUGUCCCGUCACAAAUGCAUUCAUCUGAUUCAGGUAAGCGUUUGUAAAAACUAAGAUUAUUUAUUGUUUCUGAAUUAUUACAUUAUACAUACACGAUAUUCUACGUAAUAUUAUAUCAUAUAAGUUUAAAAGUUCAUAGAUCACAUAGAUUUAAACAGAUAAAGAGACUAAAGUUAGAUCAAAUUUUUGUAUGUCAAAUUAAUUUUACCAAAAUUAAUAGAUUUCCAUUUUCAUAUGCAAAAAUUGUAAUAUCAAAUAAUGAUUAAGUUAAGAAAUGGAUCUGGGACCUAAGCCUAAACAAGUCCGAAUUUUCAAAACAAAAAGAAUAUAAAUCACGCACAUCUGAACGACAAAUAUUAACAUGCAUCUGUCAUAUCGGACCUGACCAGACACAGAUCUCUUACUGUUUUGAACUAGCAUUUUAAUUGAAAAAAAAAAAUAUGUUUUUUACAUAAGAAUUUGGGAUCUAUAUAAGGAAAUUACGCCUAAGAAAAAAAACAAUAUUUUUACAAAUUUACAAGUAAACAUCUGCAUUCAAUCUAAUUAAAUAUAGAUCUCUAUUUCAUAUAUCCGCAAAUUAUGUAUACAAGCACUAAUGUUGUAAGAUAGAUCCGGAUUUGAAAAAAUGAUAACACGUAUUUUUAAUCUUGAAGGCUCAAGCUCACCGUUACAUGAAAUAUGUUCUUUAACAUCAAGCAAUUUUAUUUGCCCAAACAGGAAUGCAAUUAGGAUAUGAAUUAUGUUUCGUCAAUGACUAUCUAAAGUAGUUAUUGUGCAGUCUUUAAAGUUACAUAUAAGAAUAUUCUAUUUUAUUGGCUAUAAAUCAGAUAUACCUUUAAAUGUACGUAAAAUAUAGUUAUAUAAUAUUUUGCAGUCAAUAAAAGUACAAAAAUCUUUUAAAUAAUUCACAAUCAAGAAUGUAUACAUAAGGGUAGUAAUAUUUCUAACUUAUAAAAAUACAACACAGGUUUGACACUAAGAAUGUAAAUGAAUGGAUAUGUUGGAUAUACCACCUCAGUAAGACAGCAACCCAAAUGACACCAAACACAACAUGACAUUCAGAACGAAAGAAGUAUAGUUAUAUCUUUCAUGGGAAACAUUGACUGUUCAUUAGGUUACACAAACAUCAGACUCCAUCUUAGAAUUUUUAUUUUAGAAUGAAAAAAUAAUAAAUAGAAAAAAAUAUGAUCAUAAGAUAUUAAUUCAAACAUUGUAUUUAACUUAGAAAAAUGUGAAAUGGAAUCGACACCAGUAUUUGGGGAUGAGGCGUUUUGUAUGAUAUGUCCAUUUUGCCGUCAUGAGAUUAUAACAGCCAUAUCUUACAAUGCUGGAACUUUGUGCUGGUUUUUAUGUGGGCUAAUGAUAUUUUUGGGGUAAGUAUAUUUUUUUUAUGUCUUAGUGCUGCUGCGGACGGAUAUGUUAAAAAUAGCAAUAAGAACAAAAAAAAUCACUUGUAAAAAGAAAUCGAUCCCUUUGUCUAUGCUGACCUUCUUUCGAAUAUAUAGAAAUACGGAAGAAGGUAUCAAUAGUAGAACAUAUUUUACUAGCAUAGGCGGUACAGAGGGGACCCCCCCUUUCGUGAGAAAAAUUUGGUUGAUUAUAUAGGGAAUCACUGAAGCAUGACCUGAGCGGCCCCCUAAGGUCAGUCAGCGGGCCACCCCUAAUGAAAAGUUCUGGAUCCGCCACUGACUAGUCACGAAAUUUCAUGCUUAUUGGGAUACCUUGUCUGAAUUGGCUUUUUGCAUAACUAUCUAGUACAAAUUGAAACAUAGUAAUCUGUCAUGUAAAAUAACCCGUUUGUUGUUAUCACUAUGAAACCCCAACCAUAACACAGGGCAGUGGUAUAACAGUACAAUCUAAGAACAAAAUAUUGAAACCAGUUGAAAAUUGCUUAAAUCAGCAGAUUAAAAAGUCAGAUAUUGAAACCAACGAAAAACGUAUAUAACAGAGUAAAAGAUGGUCUAAAAGCAUUUUAAUUAAAAACAACUCGAAAAGGACUUAAUCGUUUACUCAAACACAGUACAGUUGUCCUUAAAACAUAUUUCAAUAUAAUUAUUGGCUGUUCCUUUGUUACACAAUCAUGGUGAGGUUGUACUGAUUAUGAGUAUAUAUAUACGAAAUAUUCAAUCGAAAAUGUGAUGUAUAAUGCACCAAAGCAUACGGAAGAACUAAUAUAUUCUAAAAAUAUCAAUUAUUUUGAACAAUAGUGUACAUCACAUUUUGGAUGUUAUUUCUUCAUUGUCAGAAUAGACAGACUACUAGUAUAUAUGUUUAACAAAACAACAGACGCCUUUUUCUAGAAGAAUACCCUUAUGAUUGUUAUUAAUUAAUUGAUUUAUUGUUUCAGAUCUCCAUCAUAAAUGAGUAUAACACUUUUAUCUUAUAUCUCUAAUUGAUACCAGAAAUUAUGGAGAUCUGAAACAAUAAAUCGAUUAAGCAAUAACAAUCGUAAGGAUAUUUUUGUAUUUUCUUUCAAUGCAAUUAUAUACUAGAGGGAUUUAGUAACUUAUAAAUCUUUCAUUGUAUAAACAGAAGCUAAUACUAUGAUCUUUUUUUCAGUUUGUGGUUAGGUUGCUGUUUGGUACCAUUCUAUGUGAACGCUGUUAAAGAUUGUGUCCAUUCUUGUCCAAAUUGUUGGCAAAUCCUUGGUCGGUUCAAUCGACUCUAACCUUAUCGAUACAGAACUUCGAGUUUCGACAGAUCCUUCAAAAAUGACAAUGAUCGACCGAAGACAGAAUCAUGUGUUAGUUUACUCUAACAUCUUAAGCUGAACCCUUUGUGCAUGGUAAAGGGCACGAUAAGGACUGAAAAUUUGUUUUUGAUAAUUUUUCGAACAUGCAUAAUUAUUCAAAUAACGCAGUGGUAAACCAGGUCCUUGCGCUGUUUUUGAGGAUUUGUACAGAUUAACAAAAAAAAAUGAAUACAGAUCAAGAUCACUGAAAAUGGACAAGAACAAAAUUAAAGAAUCAUUAUAGAGAAAAUAAGGCCAUACAACUCAAGAAUAGAAACAAAACAAUGCUAUCUAGAUAGUGAAAAUAGAGAAAUACGACAUAAGUUUUUUUUUUACAUAAUUGAAGAUUUCCCAUUCUAGGCACUCGUUUAUGUUGAAAACGUAGCCAACAUAUUCUCGUUUUAUAAUAUGUCGAUGACAGAAAAUCUAAGGGUAAAACUUGUGUACACGUAGUAUACAUACAAUGGGUAGUACAAGUUUCAGAUUAUUUUGUUAGUUCAACAAGUGUGGACACAGAUGAGUGUGGAUAGUAUGUUUGGAUGUUUGACAGUGUUUUAGGAUAAAUGUAGUUCUAUGAUUUUCCUAUAUGUGUUAUUAACUGUGUUGCACGAUGACAACCAACCGGAGCAUUAGGAGUAUUGUUUAUUUUAUAUUUAGUUUAGUUUUUAUGUUCAAGACAGGCAUGGAAGAGACACUUAUUGCAUUAGUUACCAAAUGAUUAUGAUAGAAUAUGUUCCACAUCUUUGAUUUUGGAUACAUUUUAUAGCUAGGAGAGCAACACAUAAUAGGUUCAAUUUUUCGUGAUUUUUUUAAUUGGGAGAUGAUAUCUGAGAACAUGAUAUAUAAGGAGCCUGUAAUUCAGUGGUUGUCGUUUGUUUAUGUGUUACAUAUUCGUUUUUCCUUUAUUUUUUGUACAUAAAUAAGCC
rnacentral:lncRNA from 1 species